rnacentral:rRNA from 1 species
GACGAACGCUGGCGGCGUGCCUAAUACAUGCAAGUCGAGCGGAGCGGCGGACGGGUGAGUAAUGCCUAGGAAUCUGCCUGGUAGUGGGGGAUAACGUCCGGAAACGGGCGCUGAUACCGCAUACUAUCAGAUUAGCCUAGGUCGGAUUAGCUAGUUGGUGGGGUAAAGGCCUACCAAGGCGACGAUCCGUAACUGGUCUGAGAGGAUGAUCAGUCACACGGGAACUGAGACACGGUCCAAACUCCUACGUGAGGCAGCAGUGGGGAAUAUUGGACAAGGGGCGAAAGCCUGAGCAAGCCAUGCCGCGUGUGUGAAGAAGUUCUUCGGAUUGUAAAGCACGUUAAGUUGGGAGGCGUUACCAACAGAAUAAGCACCGGCUAACUUCGUGCCAGCAGCCGCGGUAAUUC